rnacentral:rRNA from 1 species
UACGGGGGGGGCAAGCGUUGUUCGGAAUUACUGGGCGUAAAGGGCUCGUAGGCGGCCAACUAAGUCAGACGUGAAAUCCCUCGGCUUAACUGAGGACGUGCGGAAGAAACUGCAAGGCUCGAGUCCGGGAGAGGGGGGUGGAAUUCCCAGUGUAGCGGUGAAAUGCGUAGAUAUUGGGGGGAACACCGGUGGCGAAGGCGGCCCCCUGGACCGGUACUGACGCUGAUGCGCGAAAGCGUGGGUAGCAAACGGG